UACGAAGGGGGCUAGCGUUGCUCGGAAUCACUGGGCGUAAAGGGUGCGUAGGCGGGUCUUUUAAGUCAGGGGGUGAAAUCCUGGAGCUCAACUCCAGAACUGCCUUUGAUACUGAAGAUCUUGAGUUCGGGAGAGGUGAGUGGAACUGCGAGUGUAGAGGUGAAAUUCGUAGAUAUUCGCAAGAACACCAGUGGCGAAGGCGGCUCACUGGCCCGAUACUGACGCUGAGGCACGAAAGUGUGGGGAUCAAACAGG
rnacentral:rRNA from 1 species